rnacentral:rRNA from 1 species
UAGGGAAUCUUCCACAAUGGACGCAAGUCUGAUGGAGCAACGCCGCGUGAGUGAAGAAGGUUUUCGGAUCGUAAAGCUCUGUUGUUGGUGAAGAAGGAUAGAGGUUGUAACUGGCCUUUAUUUGACGGUAAUCAACCAGAAAGUCACGGCUAACUACGUGCCAGCAGCCGCGGUAAUACGUAGGUGGCAAGCGUUGUCCGGAUUUAUUGGGCGUAAAGCGAGCGCAGGCGGAAGAAUAAGUCUGAUGUGAAAGCCCUCGGCUUAACCGAGGAACUGCAUCGGAAACUGUUUUUCUUGAGUGCAGAAGAGGAGAGUGGAAUUCCAUGUGUAGCGGUGGAAUGCGUAGAUAUAUGGAAGAACACCAGUGGCGAAGGCGACUCUCUGGUCUGCAACUGACGCUGAGGCUCGAAAGCAUGGGUAGCGAACAGG